GGCCGUCUAGCUCAGUUGGUUAGAGCGUCGUGCUAAUAACGCCAAGGUCUUGGGCAGUCGCAAACGAGGCUGGUUG